GGGUUGUGAGGUUAAGCGACUAAGCGUACACGGUGGAUGCCCUGGCAGUCAGAGGCGAUGAAGGACGUGCUAAUCUGCGAAAAGCGUCGGUAAGGUGAUAUGAACCGUUAUAACCGGCGAUGUCCGAAUGGGGAAACCCAGUGCAAUUCGUUGCACUAUCGUUAACUGAAUACAUAGGUUAACGAGGCGAACCGGGGGAACUGAAACAUCUAAGUACCCCGAGGAAAAGAAAUCAACCGAGAUUCCCCCAGUAGCGGCGAGCGAACGGGGAGCAGCCCAGAGUCUGAAUCAGCUUGUGUGUUAGUGGAACGGUCUGGAAAGUCCGACGGUACAGGGUGAUAGUCCCGUACACCAAAAUGCACAGGUUGUGAACUCGAAGAGUAGGGCGGGACACGUGGUAUCCUGUCUGAAUAUGGGGGGACCAUCCUCCAAGGCUAAAUACUCCUGACUGACCGAUAGUGAACCAGUACCGUGAGGGAAAGGCGAAAAGAACCCCGGCGAGGGGAGUGAAAAAGAACCUGAAACCGUGUACGUACAAGCAGUGGGAGCACCUUCGGGUGUGACUGCGUACCUUUUGUAUAAUGGGUCAGCGACUUAUAUUCUGUAGCAAGGUUAACCGUAUAGGGGAGCCGCAGGGAAACCGAGUCUUAACUGGGCGUUAAGUUGCAGGGUAUAGACCCGAAACCCGGUGAUCUAGCCAUGGGCAGGUUGAAGGUUGGGUAACACUAACUGGAGGACCGAACCGACUAAUGUUGAAAAAUUAGCGGAUGACUUGUGGCUGGGGGUGAAAGGCCAAUCAAACCGGGAGAUAGCUGGUUCUCCCCGAAAGCUAUUUAGGUAGCGCCUCGUGAACUCAUCUUCGGGGGUAGAGCACUGUUUCGGCUAGGGGGUCAUCCCGACUUACCAACCCGAUGCAAACUACGAAUACCGAAGAAUGUUAUCACGGGAGACACACGGCGGGUGCUAACGUCCGUCGUGAAGAGGGAAACAACCCAGACCGCCAGCUAAGGUCCCAAAGUCAUGGUUAAGUGGGAAACGAUGUGGGAAGGCACAGACAGCCAGGAUGUUGGCUUAGAAGCAGCCAUCAUUUAAAGAAAGCGUAAUAGCUCACUGGUCGAGUCGGCCUGCGCGGAAGAUGUAACGGGGCUAAACCAUGCACCGAAGCUGCGGCAGCGACACUAUGUGUUGUUGGGUAGGGGAGCGUUCUGUAAGCCUGCGAAGGUGUGCUGUGAGGCAUGCUGGAGGUAUCAGAAGUGCGAAUGCUGACAUAAGUAACGAUAAAGCGGGUGAAAAGCCCGCUCGCCGGAAGACCAAGGGUUCCUGUCCAACGUUAAUCGGGGCAGGGUGAGUCGACCCCUAAGGCGAGGCCGAAAGGCGUAGUCGAUGGGAAACAGGUUAAUAUUCCUGUACUUGGUGUUACUGCGAAGGGGGGACGGAGAAGGCUAUGUUAGCCGGGCGACGGUUGUCCCGGUUUAAGCAUGUAGGCUGGUUGUCCAGGCAAAUCCGGAUAAUCAAGGCUGAGGUGUGAUGACGAGGCACUACGGUGCUGAAGUAACAAAUGCCCUGCUUCCAGGAAAAGCCUCUAAGCAUCAGGUAACAUUAAAUCGUACCCCAAACCGACACAGGUGGUCAGGUAGAGAAUACCAAGGCGCUUGAGAGAACUCGGGUGAAGGAACUAGGCAAAAUGGUGCCGUAACUUCGGGAGAAGGCACGCUGGUGUGUAGGUGAAGCCCCUGCGGGUGGAGCUGAGACCAGUCGAAGAUACCAGCUGGCUGCAACUGUUUAUUAAAAACACAGCACUGUGCAAACACGAAAGUGGACGUAUACGGUGUGACGCCUGCCCGGUGCCGGAAGGUUAAUUGAUGGGGUUAUCCGUAAGGAGAAGCUCUUGAUCGAAGCCCCGGUAAACGGCGGCCGUAACUAUAACGGUCCUAAGGUAGCGAAAUUCCUUGUCGGGUAAGUUCCGACCUGCACGAAUGGCGUAAUGAUGGCCAGGCUGUCUCCACCCGAGACUCAGUGAAAUUGAACUCGCUGUGAAGAUGCAGUGUACCCGCGGCAAGACGGAAAGACCCCGUGAACCUUUACUAUAGCUUGACACUGAACAUUGAGCCUUGAUGUGUAGGAUAGGUGGGAGGCUUUGAAGCGUGGACGCCAGUCUGCGUGGAGCCAACCUUGAAAUACCACCCUUUAAUGUUUGAUGUUCUAACGUUGGCCCCUUACCGGGGUUGCGGACAGUGUCUGGUGGGUAGUUUGACUGGGGCGGUCUCCUCCCAAAGCGUAACGGAGGAGCACGAAGGUUAGCUAAUCCUGGUCGGACAUCAGGAGGUUAGUGCAAUGGCAUAAGCUAGCUUGACUGCGAGCGUGACGGCGCGAGCAGGUGCGAAAGCAGGUCAUAGUGAUCCGGUGGUUCUGAAUGGAAGGGCCAUCGCUCAACGGAUAAAAGGUACUCCGGGGAUAACAGGCUGAUACCGCCCAAGAGUUCAUAUCGACGGCGGUGUUUGGCACCUCGAUGUCGGCUCAUCACAUCCUGGGGCUGAAGUAGGUCCCAAGGGUAUGGCUGUUCGCCAUUUAAAGUGGUACGCGAGCUGGGUUUAGAACGUCGUGAGACAGUUCGGUCCCUAUCUGCCGUGGGCGCUGGAGAAUUGAGGGGGGCUGCUCCUAGUACGAGAGGACCGGAGUGGACGCAUCACUGGUGUUCGGGUUGUCAUGCCAAUGGCACUGCCCGGUAGCUAAAUGCGGAAGAGAUAAGUGCUGAAAGCAUCUAAGCACGAAACUUGCCCCGAGAUGAGUUCUCCCUGAGACUUUAAGUCUCCUGAAGGAACGUUAAAGACGAUGACGUUGAUAGGCCGGGUGUGUAAGCGCAGCGAUGCGUUGAGCUAACCGGUACUAAUGAACCGUGAGGCUUAACCUUACAACGCCGAAG
rnacentral:rRNA from 1 species